ACUCUUUCCCUGUUGCACUACUGUGGCAGUGAAUAAAGCAGUGCAAUGAUGAAAGGGCAU
rnacentral:pre_miRNA from 1 species